rnacentral:tRNA from 1 species
GCCUGGGUGGCUCAGUCGGUUGAGCAUUAGACUUCAGCUCAGGUCAUGAUCUCACAGUUGGUGGGUUCGAGCCCCACAUUGGGCU